AGAGUUUGAUCCUGGCUCAGGUUUAACGCUGGCGGUAUGUCUAAUACAUGCAAGUCGAGCGCUCACUUCGGUGAGAGCGGCGAACGGGUGAGUAAUACGUUGGUAGCUGCCCCGCACUCAGGGAUAACCUCUAGAAAUAGAGGCUAAUACCGGAUGGUCCCGAAAGGGUAAAGAUUUUUCGGUGCGGGAGGUGCCUGCGUUCUAUCAGCUUGUUGGUAAGGUAACUGCUUACCAAGGCUUUGACGGAUAGCUGGUCUGAGAGGAUGAUCAGCCACAAUGGGACUGAGACACGGCCCAUACUUCUACGGAAGGCAGCAGUAGGGAAUCUUUCGCAAUGGCCGAAAGGCUGACGAAGCAAUACCGCGUGGUUGAUGAAGCUCUUGCGAGUGUAAAGACCUUUUCUGAGGGAAGAAUUCUGACGGUACCUUAGGAAUAAGCACCGGCUAACUCCGUGCCAGCAGCCGCGGUAAUACGGAGGGUGCAACGUUAUCCGGAAUCAUUGGGCGUAAAGCGUGCGAAGGCGGAUUAUUAAGUCAGAUGUCAAAGACAACGGCCCAACCGUUGCAUGGUAUCUGAAACUGCUAAUCUAGAGUCUUGCAGAGGUAUGUGGAAUUCUGUGUGUAGGGGUAAAAUCCGUAGAUACACAGAGGAACAUCAAAAGCGAAGGCAGCAUACUGGGCAAGUACUGACGCUGUUGCACGAAAGCGUGGGUAGCGAACAGGAUUAGAGACCCUGGUAGUCCACGCCGUAAACGAUGGAUACUCGGUGUUGGAGGACUCAACCCCUUCAGUGCCUAAGCUAACGCAUUAAGUAUCCCGCCUGGGGAGUACGGUCGCAAGAUUAAAACUCAAAGGAAUAGACGGGGACCCACACAAGCGGUGGAGCAUCUGGUUUAAUUCGACAAUAAGCGGGGAACCUUACCUAGGCUUGACAUCCCGAGAAUUCUGAAGAAAUUCGGAAGUGCCUUUUAGGAACUCGGUGACAGGCGCUGCAUGGUUGUCGUCAGCUCGUGCCUUGAGGUGUUCGGUUAAGUCCGUGAACGAGCGCAACCCUCGUCGCAUGUUGUAUUUCUCAUGCGAGACUGCCGGCUCUAAGUCGGAGGAAGGUGAGGACGACGUCAAAUCAGCAUGGCCCUUAUGCCUAGGGCUACACAGGUGCCACAAUGGCCAGUACAAUAGGUCGCAAUACGGUAACGUGGAGCUAAUCCUUAAAACUGGUCUUAGUUCGGAUUGAGGGCUGCAAUUUGCCCUCAUGAAGUUGGAAUCGCUAGUAAACGCGCAUCAGCCAUGGCGCGUUGAAUAUGUUCCUGGGUCUUGUACUCACCGCCCGUCACGUCAUGAAAGAUGAGGGCAUCUGAAGUCCCCUUAGCUCUCGAGCGGGGGCCCACGGUGAAAUCAUUGAUUGGGACGAAGUCGUAACAAGGUA
rnacentral:rRNA from 1 species